ensembl:lncRNA
CUACCCUCUGCCGUCCUCCACUCAGAGAGGAGCGGAACCCCCUGACACCUCCUCACCUUCCAUCCUCUCGCCUUCGCACCUCUCCCUUUCCUCUGAGCGCGCGCCGUCUCUCUCACCUGUUGAUGUACUGCAGCUCUCGAACUCGAUCAACACACACAGGACAUCCGCCCUCUGCUCUAAAAAAUAAAAGCAUUCCGUUUUUUCAGAAUAAAAGCGGCUCACCGGUCUGACUUUCAGCGUGGUGUCCCGCCCACUGAGCGCGUCCAGUGCACGAGUUGAAAUGAAGAGAAAUGGGCUGUAUCCCAAUUCCCAAUUCAGGGGCUGCUCGAAAUGCGGACCUGAAAUGCGGCCUUCAUUUCCCUGAAUUUUAAGGCUGUGGCGAUGUAGACUUCGUGGCCCAACAUAUCCCACAAUUCAUAGCGCGGCAGUCACUGUGGAUAAAUUUGCCGCAGACGGUAGAAGGGAGUAAACUGUUAAACCUUAUCACACAUUUGAUUUCCAUGUGUGACGACUGCAAGUGUCCAGAGUGAGGACAGACUGAGGGACCCACUGCUGCACAUCAUCUGUGAGGCUUUGCACCCUGAUGAUCCACCAGGACAAACUCAGCAGUGUGUGAGGAAGAGGAGGAGGAAGAGCCAGCAGCAGCUGACAGAUGGAGAGAAUAGACAGACUGUUCCCUGUUUGUGAAGGACUGCUAGGAAAGUUUAAAAUCACUAAUUAUCUGUCCUGAAUCAGUCUUAUUAGGUAAUGUUCAAAUAAUGUUAUCAUCCCAGUGUUUUCAGUGUGGGAGAAAGUACUCAGGGCCUUCAAGUUACACACUAUGAAAGGCAGCAACAAGUUUAAUAUUCAGAAACCUAAAGUAUGUAUCAGCAGCAGAAUGGAGCUAACAAUAAAUGUUUGUUUCAGUUCUACGAAGCUUUGAGUAUUUUGGAUUAGUAGCACUGCUGUGUUUGUUGCAUCAUAUUGCUGUAAUUGUUUAUAUGCUUUAUAUAUUCUGAGGUAAGUUGAUCUAUAGUGUUACAUCAUAUUCUACAAGGAUGUUAUGUGUUUGUAGACUUUCUGCCCAGUUUGACCCAUUUAGCAGAAGUCAGCCUGUUUAAGGCUCUGAUAUCUAUUCUGUAUGACUUAAAGCAGUUAUGACAUGGUCUGAUUUUCUC